rnacentral:rRNA from 1 species
UGUAAUGGUGGGUGGGCAGUGGCGUAAAUGUGUAGGGUGCGAGGGGUGUGCUGAAUUAGUGGGCGGAAGGAGCGCGGAGGCGGUGGGUGUCGUGGGGGGUGAAAGGCCGGGGGUUAACCCCGGAUCUGCGGGGGGGACGGGCAGACUAGAGUGCAGUAGGGGAGACUGGAAUUCCUGGUGUAGCGGUGGAAUGCGCAGAUAUCAGGAGGAACACCGAGGGCGAAGGCAGGUCUCUGGGCUGUAACUGACGCUGAGGAGCGAAAGCAUGGGGAGCGAACAGGAUUAGAUACCCUGGUAGUC